GGCAGCCGGUACAAAAGCGUAGUCCGCUCGCCGGCUCUUCCUCUGCUCCCAUUGUCGCCUGUCACUUUUAGUGUGAGGUCACGUCUCCGAUCGGGCGACUGGUUGGGUGCUGCUCCGUGCUGUGUGUGCACGCUGCUGUGGGUUGAUCGGCAGUGGUGCAUGCUGGCAGCUGCCUGAAGCUCUCUUCCUUUUCCUCUCGUGAGCGUUUGUUACUGCAAGAAGGUGAUCUUAACCACCUAACGGCCGCUGCUGCUUUGUAGCCACUGAGUUUUGGUUCGUGUUGGUGGCCGCUGCGGGCUCGUGUGGCGUCAUUCGGUGGCCGUCGGAAACGUUACCGCCGA